GAUACAAAAAGGACUGAUGAAAGGGAGACGUGAUUCUUUUGAAAGAUUAAUUCACAGAAUUUUUUAUCACAGUUGAAAUAUCAAUUGCAAUAACAACUGAAAACUGAUUGCUAUUACUGAACACUGCCCUUAGGUGGCUCACUCUUAGAAGACACAAAGUCACUGGACUACAAUCCUUUAGGGCAGGGAUUGUGUCUCUUGCUCGUUGUAUAUACAUGGUUCUUACACAGUGCCUGGCAUUCAAAAAAUGCAUUCAGAAAAAUUUGGUAUUCAAAAAAUGCUUGAUGAAUUGACUGACUGCCUGAAUGAAUAAAUAAAUUGGUGGAUUAAUGACUGAAUGGAGUACAGAAGACUGUGGUCCCAGAAGACCUUAACAUUGAGCUUGCUGCAGACUGAAUGUUUGCCUCCUCUCAAAAUUAAUAUGUUGAAACCUAAUCCUUAAUGUGAUAGUAUUAGGAUGUGGGGCCUUUGGAAAGUGAUUAGGUUAUGAAGGUGGAGCCCUCGUGAAUGGGAGUAGUAUCCUUAUAAAAGAUACCCCAGAGAGGUCCCUUGUCCCUUCCAACAUGUGAGGCUACAGUGAAAAGAUGGCCAUCUGUAAACCAGGAAGUGAGUCCUCACCAGAUACCACAUCUGUUGUGCUUUGAUCUUGGAUUUCCCUGUCCCCAGAACUGUGGUAAAUAAAUUUCUGUUGUUUGUAAGCC
rnacentral:lncRNA from 10 species